rnacentral:rRNA from 1 species
UACGGAGGGUCCGAGCGUUGUCCGGAAUUAUUGGGUUUAAAGGGUACGUAGGCGGGUCAAUAAGUCAGAGCUGAAAUCCUAUGGCUUAACCAUAGAACUGGCUUUGAUACUGUUGAUCUUGAGUACGGUAGAGGUAGGCGGAAUUUAUGAUGUAGCGGUGAAAUGCAUAGAUAUCAUAAAGAACACCGAUAGCGAAGGCAGCUUGUUGGACCAUAACUGACGCUAAUGUACGAAAGUGUGGGUAGCGAACAGG